AGAGUUUGAUCCUGGCUCAGAUUGAACGCUGGCGGCAGGCUUAACACAUGCAAGUCGAGCGGAGAGAGGUAGCUUGCUACUGAUCUUAGCGGCGGACGGGUGAGUAAUGCUUAGGAAUCUGCCUAUUAGUGGGGGACAACAUUUCGAAAGGAAUGCUAAUACCGCAUACGUCCUACGGGAGAAAGCAGGGGAUCUUCGGACCUUGCGCUAAUAGAUGAGCCUAAGUCGGAUUAGCUAGUUGGUGGGGUAAAGGCCUACCAAGGCGACGAUCUGUAGCGGGUCUGAGAGGAUGAUCCGCCACACUGGGACUGAGACACGGCCCAGACUCCUACGGGAGGCAGCAGUGGGGAAUAUUGGACAAUGGGCGCAAGCCUGAUCCAGCCAUGCCGCGUGUGUGAAGAAGGCCUUAUGGUUGUAAAGCACUUUAAGCGAGGAGGAGGCUACUUUAGUUAAUACCUAGAGAUAGUGGACGUUACUCGCAGAAUAAGCACCGGCUAACUCUGUGCCAGCAGCCGCGGUAAUACAGAGGGUGCAAGCGUUAAUCGGAUUUACUGGGCGUAAAGCGCGCGUAGGCGGCUAAUUAAGUCAAAUGUGAAAUCCCCGAGCUUAACUUGGGAAUUGCAUUCGAUACUGGUUAGCUAGAGUGUGGGAGAGGAUGGUAGAAUUCCAGGUGUAGCGGUGAAAUGCGUAGAGAUCUGGAGGAAUACCGAUGGCGAAGGCAGCCAUCUGGCCUAACACUGACGCUGAGGUG
rnacentral:rRNA from 1 species